GACGAACGCUGGCGGCGUGCUUAACACAUGCAAGUCGAACGGGAUUUCGUAAACAGAAACCUCGGUGGAAGAUUACUAAUGAGAGUGGCGAACGGGUGAGUAACGCGUGAGCAACCUGCCUAUGACAGUGGGAUAGCCUCGGGAAACCGGGAUUAAUACCGCAUAAAAUCGUAGAAACACAUGUUUUAACGGUCAAAGAUUUAUCGGUCAUAGAUGGGCUCGCGUCUGAUUAGCUAGUUGGUGAGAUAACAGCCCACCAAGGCGACGAUCAGUAGCCGGUCUGAGAGGAUGAACGGCCACAUUGGAACUGAGACACGGUCCAAACUCCUACGGGAAGCAGCAGUGGGGAAUAUUGCACAAUGGGGGAAACCCUGAUGCAGCGACGCCGCGUGAACGAAGAAGGUAUUCGUAUCGUAAAGUUCUGUCCUAUGGGAAGAUAAUGACAGUACCAUAGAAGAAAGCUCCGGCUAAAUACGUG
rnacentral:rRNA from 1 species